rnacentral:lncRNA from 1 species
CUCUCUUCAGGUAUAUAUAUGUAUUACCUGAAAGCUGAGGGCAGCUGUUGCCUUGGGUCAUGCAGAGAAUAUGCAGCCACACCCAUGCCUUAGAUGUGUGUAAUUCAAGUGGAGAAGACACAAGCCAGUGGUCGCAAUAUCAACACUUGAGUGUUCUGUAAACGAUUAAUGUUUGCCAUGUGCAAGGAAAUGGCAGAGGCAAAAUGCUGCCAGCUUAUGGAAAAAUAAUUUAUAAAAAAAUGAUGGGUUAGUUCUGCCAAAUUUGAGUAAGUGAGAACACGAGAAACCAUAUUCUGUUAGAGCCUGAGAAAAGGAAGGAAAGUCAAACGGUGAGUCUAACCUCAUUUAUUCCAGGAUUGGUGUCAGCAGAAAACCAACAGUGAUGUGGUGGCACACAGUGAACUGACCAGACCCAGGCAGCAGCGGCUCUUUUGGUGGCAAUGGUGCCACGUCAUGGGUACUCUCCUUGCUGAUGGCAGAUACCGACAGGCAAACUGUUGCCUUGCGUUUAGCUCUGUUAACCAUUGACAGCAAGGUAAGCAUGUCUUCAGCGUUCAUAGCUCUUAAAGAUCUUGUCUGUAACACAAGGGUUUAAGAC